GGUGGCUCAGUGGUAUAGUGCUUGCCUUGCAUGCAUGAGACCCUGGGUUCGAUUCCUCAGCACCA
rnacentral:tRNA from 1 species